rnacentral:rRNA from 1 species
CGGGGUGGAGUAACGCGUGGGUAACCUGCCUCAUACAGGGGGAUAACAGUUGGAAACGGCUGCUAAUACCGCAUAAGCGCACAGUGCUGCAUGGCACAGUGUGAAAAACUCCGGUGGUAUGAGAUGGACCCGCGUCUGAUUAGCUAGUUGGUGGGGUAACGGCCUACCAAGGCGACGAUCAGUAGCCGGCCUGAGAGGGUGAACGGCCACAUUGGGACUGAGACACGGCCCAA